UGGGGAAUAUUGGACAAUGGGCGCAAGCCUGAUCCAGCCAUGCCGCGUGAGUGAUGAAGGCCCUAGGGUUGUAAAGCUCUUUCACCGGUGAAGAUAAUGACGGUAACCGGAGAAGAAGCCCCGGCUAACUUCGUGCCAGCAGCCGCGGUAAUACGAAGGGGGCUAGCGUUGUUCGGAUUUACUGGGCGUAAAGCGCACGUAGGCGGACUUUUAAGUCAGGGGUGAAAUCCCGGGGCUCAACCCCGGAACUGCCUUUGAUACUGGAAGUCUUGAGUAUGGUAGAGGUGAGUGGAAUUCCGAGUGUAGAGGUGAAGUUCGUAGAUAUUCGGAGGAACACCAGUGGAGAAGGCGGCUCACUGGACCAUUACUGACGCUGAGGUGCGAAAGCGUGGGGAGAAAACAGG
rnacentral:rRNA from 1 species